rnacentral:SRP_RNA from 1 species
CGGUGCGGGCGCCCGUUCCCUUGGAUUGCGUGUCACGAGGGCUCGUGGGAGGCGGUACGGCUUCAGAGGGAGCCCACGCGCACCAACCUUCCAAAGAAGGGGCGCACCGGGUCAGGGGC